UAAGUUGACUGUGCCUUUAAACAGCUUGGAAAAUUCCAGACAAUGAUGUCAUGGCUUUAGAAGCUUCUGAUAGGCUAAUAACAUAAUUUUGACUCAAUUGGAGGUGUACCUGUGGAUGUAUUUCAAGGCCUAUACCUUCAAACUCUGCUUCUUGGCUUGACAUCAUGGGAAAAUGUAAAGAAAUCAGCCAAGACCUCCAGAAAAAAGCAAACUGUAAACCAAUCAAAACUGGUUUUCUGCCAAUCACAUUAUCCGUACCUAUAAGGUAGUCGACAGUUGGUGACAACUCGAGAGAGAUCUCCAUCUGACAAACUGCUAUCAGAUCCUCUCAAGCUGAACCUUCACCUCAAGGUGAACCUUCGCCCCAGUCUGAGGUCCUGAGAACUCUGGAGCAGAUUUUCAUCAAGAAUCUCUCUGUACUUUGCUCCGUUUAUCUUUCCCUUGAUCCUGACUAGUCUCCCAGUCCCUGCCUCUGAAAAACAUCCCCACAGCAUGAUGCUGCCACCACCAUGCUUCACCGUAGGGAUGGUGCCAGGUUUCCUCCAGACGUGAUGCUUGGCUUUCAGGCCAAAGAGUUCAAUCUUGGUUUCACCAGAACAGGGAAUAUUCUUUCUCAUGGUCUUGAGUCCUUUCGGUGCCUUUUGACAAAUUGCAAGUGGGUUGUUAUGUGCCCUUUACUGAGGAGUGGCUUCCAUCUGGCCACUCUACCAUAAAGGUCUGAUUGGUGGAGUGCUGCAGAGAUGGUUGUCCUUCUGGAAGCUUCUCCCAUCUCCACAGAGGACCUCUGGAGCUCUGUCAGAGUGACCAACGGGUUCUUGUUCACCAACCUGACUAAGGCUCUUCUCCCCUGAUUGCUCAGUUUGGCCGAGCGGCCAGCUCUAGGAAGAGUCUUGGUGGUUCCAAACUUCUUCCAUUUCAGAAUGACGGAGGCCACUGUGUUCUUGGGGACCUUCAAUGCUGCAGAAAUGUUUUGGUACCCUUCCCCAGAUCUGUGCCUCGACACAAUCCUGUCUCAGAGCUCUACGCACAAUUCCUUUGACCUCAUGGCUUGGUUUUUGCUCUGACAUGCACUGUCAACUGUGAGACCUUAUAUAGACAGGUGCCUUUCCAAAUCACGUCCAAUCAAUUGAAUUUACCACAGAUGGACUCCAAUCAAGUUGUGGAAACUUCUCAAGGAUGAUCAAUGGAAUCAGGAUGCAACUGAGCUGAAUUUUGUGUCUCAUAGCAAAGGGUCUGAAUACUUAUGUAAAUAAGGUUCUUCUGUUUUUAUUUUGUAUAAAUUUGCAAAUGUUUAUACAAACCUGUUUUCACUUUGUUAUUAUGGGGUAUUGUGAUGUCAUUAUGGGGUAUUGUGAUGUCAUUAUGGGGUAUUGUGAUGUCAUUAUGGGGUAGUGUAUAUAGAUUGAUGAGGAAAACAAUGAAUUCAAUCCAUUUUAGAAUAAGGGUGUAACAUAAACAAAAUGUUGAGAAAGGAAGGGGUCUGAAUACUUUCUGAAUGCGCUGUACAUUGGUUUGUAGGUACUUCCUUUGCUAUUUGUCUCUGUACUCAAUAAAUGGUCAAACACCA